GCCGUGAACUCUGUCGGCGUAGUCCUAUUAUUCUGGUAAGCCGUUUUCGAAGCCCCCUUUCGUUAUUUGGUUGAGUUUCAGUUCCAAAGUAGUGGAUUGCUGAUGUUCAAUUCUUUUGGUUGAUGUUCUUGAAUUCGGGACUUGGAGGAUGGGAAUUGAAAUGAAAGGGGAGCUUCUAGUCUUGGUUUCGAUUUCAGUUUUGAUGGGAUGAGGAAGAACUGAUGAGGGCCAUGAGGUGUAGUAGGUCAUUGAGUUCAUGACCUUGGCAAGAAUCGGGAUAGGAGCGAAGUUUUGGAUGAAGGACCUUAGUCUGAGGCCACCACUACGUCGAAGAGUUCUGUAAGGGACAUGGUAAGGGUCUUGGGUAUCUUGAACAUAUAUUGUCGUGAUCUGAUUAUAUAUGUUGAAGUUGUGGUUUCAUUGAAUACACGAAAUGAACUUUGGUUUGCAAUACUGGAAUGAUUAGUGUUUCUAAGAGUUGUUAGUUUCGUUGGGAAGUUGACGUAGUAAUGAAUUGAGUAUGAAAUGGCUUGUGUAUUGAGAAGCUUGGCUUUAUUAAUUAAAGUGGUGAAUCUGUUAUCUGGAAA